rnacentral:rRNA from 1 species
AUCAGAAGUGCGAAUGCUGACAUAAGUAACGAUAAAGCGGGUGAAAAGCCCGCUCGCCGGAAGACCAAGGGUUCCUGUCCAACGUUAAUCGGGGCAGGGUGAGUCGACCCCUAAGGCGAGGCCGAAAGGCGUAGUCGAUGGGAAACAGGUUAAUAUUCCUGUACUUGGUGUUACUGCGAAGGGGGGACGGAGAAGGCUAUGUUGGCCGGGCGACGGUUGUCCCGGUUUAAGCGUGUAGGCUGGUUUUCCAGGCAAAUCCGGAAAAUCAAGGCUGAGGCGUGAUGACGAGGCACUACGGUGCUGAAGCAACAAAUGCCCUGCUUCCAGGAAAAGCCUCUAAGCAUCAGGUAACAUCAAAUCGUACCCCAAACCGACACAGGUGGUCAGGUAGAGAAUACCAAGGCGCUUGAGAGAACUCGGGUGAAGGAACUAGGCAAAAUGGUGCCGUAACUUCGGGAGAAGGCACGCUGAUAUGUAGGUGAAGUCCCUCGCGGAUGGAGCUGAAAUCAGUCGAAGAUACCAGCUGGCUGCAACUGUUUAUUAAAAACACAGCACUGUGCAAACACGAAAGUGGACGUAUACGGUGUGACGCCUGCCCGGUGCCGGAAGGUUAAUUGAUGGGGUCAGCGCAAGCGAAGCUCUUGAUCGAAGCCCCGGUAAACGGCGGCCGUAACUAUAACGGUCCUAAGGUAGCGAAAUUCCUUGUCGGGUAAGUUCCGACCUGCACGAAUGGCGUAAUGAUGGCCAGGCUGUCUCCACCCGAGACUCAGUGAAAUUGAACUCGCUGUGAAGAUGCAGUGUACCCGCGGCAAGACGGAAAGACCCCGUGAACCUUUACUAUAGCUUGACACUGAACAUUGAGCCUUGAUGUGUAGGAUAGGUGGGAGGCUUUGAAGUGUGGACGCCAGUCUGCAUGGAGCCGACCUUGAAAUACCACCCUUUAAUGUUUGAUGUUCUAACGUUGACCCGUAAUCCGGGUUGCGGACAGUGUCUGGUGGGUAGUUUGACUGGGGCGGUCUCCUCCUAAAGAGUAACGGAGGAGCACGAAGGUUGGCUAAUCCUGGUCGGACAUCAGGAGGUUAGUGCAAUGGCAUAAGCCAGCUUGACUGCGAGCGUGACGGCGCGAGCAGGUGCGAAAGCAGGUCAUAGUGAUCCGGUGGUUCUGAAUGGAAGGGCCAUCGCUCAACGGAUAAAAGGUACUCCGGGGAUAACAGGCUGAUACCGCCCAAGAGUUCAUAUCGACGGCGGUGUUUGGCACCUCGAUGUCGGCUCAUCACAUCCUGGGGCUGAAGUAGGUCCCAAGGGUAUGGCUGUUCGCCAUUUAAAGUGGUACGCGAGCUGGGUUUAGAACGUCGUGAGACAGUUCGGUCCCUAUCUGCCGUGGGCGCUGGAGAAUUGAGGGGGGCUGCUCCUAGUACGAGAGGACCGGAGUGGACGCAUCACUGGUGUUCGGGUUGUCAUGCCAAUGGCACUGCCCGGUAGCUAAAUGCGGAAGAGAUAAGUGCUGAAAGCAUCUAAGCACGAAACUUGCCCCGAGAUGAGUUCUCCCUGACUCCUUGAGAGUCCUGAAGGAACGUUGAAGACGACGACGUUGAUAGGCCGGGUGUGUAAGCGCAGCGAUGCGUUGAGCUAACCGGUACUAAUGAACCGUGAGGCUUAACCUU